rnacentral:rRNA from 1 species
CGGGGCUCACCUCUAACCAUUCCGAACAGAGUAGUUAAGCCCGUUUGCGCCGAUGGUACUGCUUUACUGUGGAAGAGUAGGUCACCGCCUUUUUUGUAUCGAUGAUAAAUCGAUAUUUUUAAAACCCUUACUAGGUAUCUAGUAAGGGUUUUUUGUGUUUAAUAUAUUUAAGGAAGUGUAAGAACCCAAUCAAUUAAUCGUUUUUACAAGUAGCAUUCUUUAUUUAGAAUUGAAUCCAGGUAAUACAAACUAAAUUGUUUGUGUUAAACUCAAUUAUCUUACACUAACUCUUUAAUAUGAUUAACUUUUAUGGUAUAUGAAUACUUGUAAGAGUAAGCCAUAAACGUCUACUAAAUACAGCUAUCAAGAAACCAUUACUUUUUUUUCUUGAAAACACACUCUGGAGUCGUCUUAAUUCCUAAGAGUAAAAUAAUAAUUUUGUAAUUAAGAGAAUUCAUACUAUAAUAAGCAGUGAUUUACAUAAGUAUAUUCAUUAUUAUUUAAGAUUAAGUAUCAUACUAUAGGAUCAAGGAUCGCUAAUACGAAGAAUUAUUCGUAAAUUUUAGAUGAGAACGCACAAUCUUUACUGUCAUAAUCUACUUUCAAAAAAUAUAAUAGACCUAAUAAAGUAGCUUUAGUCAAUUUAAAUCUGAAGUAUAGAGUUAUUAUAAUUCGAUUUAUUCGGAUGUAUGAUGGAUCAGGGCAUAUAAAACACAUGGAUUUAAUGUUAAUCUACAUAUUCUGAAAACCGUCAUAUAGGCCUUUAUCAAUCGAAACAGCAAGCUGCAGUAAAGAAUUUAUUCAAAAUCAAAAAAACAAACAGCUGUAAAGCUUUGGUUAUGGGUGUAUUAAAAAAAAGAUUAAAAUAAGUUAUAAAAGGGCUUGCGGGUUUAGAAAAGGGUUCUAUAUUUGCACCCCGAAACAAAAACAAUAUGUUGCGUUUCGCACGUUCAUUUCCAGAAAAAUUAAGCUUAAAAAAAGAAUUAAAUAUUUUUUCAAAUUAAGUUUGUGAGAGUGAAAAAAGGGUUUUAUAUUUGCACCCGCUUAGCGAAACAACGUUAAGAGAAAGUAAAGAAAAAGUUCAUUAACAUAUUGAAUUGACAGCGUAAGAAUCAACUGGAAAC